rnacentral:rRNA from 1 species
UGGGGAAUAUUGGACAAUGGGGGGAACCCUGAUCCAGCCAUGCCGCGUGUGUGAAGAAGGCCUUAUGGUUGUAAAGCACUUUAAGCGAGGAGGAGGGUACUGGUAUUAAUACUACCAGGUACUGGACGUUACUCGCAGAAUAAGCACCGGCUAACUCUGUGCCAGCAGCCGCGGUAAUACAGAGGGUGCAAGCGUUAAUCGGAAUUACUGCGCGUAAAGCGCGCGUAGGUGGUUCGUUAAGUUGAAUGUGAAAGCCCCGGGCUCAACCUGGGAACUGCAUCCAAAACUGGCGAGCUAGAGUAGGGCAGAGGGUGGUGGAAUUUCCUGUGUAGCGGUGAAAUGCGUAGAUAUAGGAAGGAACACCAGUGGCGAAGGCGACCACCUGGGCUCAUACUGACACUGAGGUGCGAAAGCGUGGGGAGCAAACAGG